rnacentral:rRNA from 1 species
AGAGCGAACGCUGGCGGCAUGCUUAACACAUGCAAGUCGCACGGGCACUUCGGUGUCAGUGGCGGACGGGUGAGUAACGCGUAGGUAUCUAUCCUUGGGUGGGGGACAACGGUUGGAAACGACUGCUAAUACCGCAUGAUAACUGAGGUUUAAAGGCGCAAGUCGCCUGAGGAGGAGCCUGCGUACGAUUAGCUAGUUGGUGGGGUAAAGGCCUACCAAGGCGACGAUCGUUAGCUGGUCUGAGAGGAUGAUCAGCCACAUUGGGACUGAGACACGGCCCAAACUCCUACGGGAGGCAGCAGUGGGAAUAUUGGACAAUGGGCGAAAGCCUGAUCCAGCAAUGCCGCGUGUGUGAAGAAGGUCUUCGGAUUGUAAAGCACUUUCGACAGGGACGAUGAUGACGGUACCUGUAGAAGAAGCCCGGCUAACUUCGUGCCAGCAGCCGC